rnacentral:rRNA from 1 species
CCUACGGGUGGCUGCAGUGGGGAAUAUUGGACAAUGGGGGCAACCCUGAUCCAGCCAUGCCGCGUGUGUGAAGAAGGCCCUCGGGUUGUAAAGCACUUUCAGUGAGGAAGAACGCCUGGUGGUUAAUACCCAUCAGGAAAGACAUCACUCACAGAAGAAGCACCGGCUAACUCCGUGCCAGCAGCCGCGGUAAUACGGAGGGUGCGAGCGUUAAUCGGAAUUACUGGGCGUAAAGCGCGCGUAGGUGGCUUGAUAAGCCGGUUGUGAAAGCCCCGGGCUCAACCUGGGAACGGCAUCCGGAACUGUCAAGCUAGAGUGCAGGAGAGGAAGGUAGAAUUCCCGGUGUAGCGGUGAAAUGCGUAGAGAUCGGGAGGAAUACCAGUGGCGAAGGCGGCCUUCUGGACUGACACUGACACUGAGGUGCGAAAGCGUGGGUAGCAAACAGGAUGAGAUACCCCAGUAGUC